rnacentral:rRNA from 1 species
GGAGGUAGUGACAAUAAAUCUCAAUACGAAGCCUUUGGUUUUGUAAUUGAAUUGAGAACAAUGUACAAUCGUUAUCGAUAAACAAUUGGAGGGCAAGUCUGGUGCCAGCAGCCGCGGUAAUUCCAGCUCCAAUAGCGUAUAUUAACGUUGUUGCAGUUAAAAAGCUCGUAGUUGAAGUUUAGGUGGUUUGUUGAGGGUGUUAGUAUUCGUACUCUCUGCCCUGAGCGAGUCAUCGACUUCCAGGUAAGCUGAGUAAUCCCUUCGGGGACUAUUGAGCUAGACUGGUCUUUUACUGUGAGAAAAUUAGAGUGUUUAAAGCAGACUUUUUUUUUUCUAGUUUGAAUAGAUUAGCAUGGAAUAAUAAGAUUGGCUUUCAUAGUCGAUUUUUUGGUUUGUUUAUGAAAGCAAGAUUAAUAGGGACAGUUGGGGGUAUUCAUAUUCAAUAGCUAGAGGUGAAAUUCUAUGAUUUAUGGAAGAUGAACAAGUGCGAAAGCA